GGGCCUGUAGUUUCAAUGGUAAAACAUUGGUCUCCAAAACCAAGGUUCCGCGUUCGAGUCGCGGCGGGCCCGCAA
rnacentral:tRNA from 3 species